UACGUAUGGAGCAAGCGUUAUCCGGAUUUACUGGGUGUAAAGGGUGCGUAGGCGGCACAGCAAGUCAGAUGUGAAAGACCGGGGCUCAACCCCGGGGCUGCAUUUGAAACUGCCGAGCUUGAGUCCGGGAGAGGCAGGCGGAAUUCCUAGUGUAGCGGUGAAAUGCGUAGAUAUUAGGAGGAACACCAGUGGCGAAGGCGGCCUGCUGGACCGGAACUGACGCUGAGGCACGAAAGUGUGGGUAGCAAACAGG
rnacentral:rRNA from 1 species